rnacentral:pre_miRNA from 14 species
UGUGUGUGUGUGUGUGUGUGUGUGUGUGUGUGUGACAUGUCGAUCUGUCCUUGUGAUGGGCCCCUGCUACCUGCUGUUUAGCAAAGAGCUACACACACACACACACACACACACACACA